UGGGGAAUAUUGCACAAUGGAGGGAACUCUGAUGCAGCAACGCCGCGUGAAAGAAGAAGGCGUUAGUGUUGUAAACUUCUAUCGACAGGGAAGAAAAAAAUGACUGUACCUGAGUAAGAAGCCCCGGCUAACUACGCGCCAGCAGCCGCGGUAAUACGUAGGGGGCAAGCGUUAUCCGGAAUUACUGGGUGUAAAGGGUGAGUAGGCGGUAAUAUAAGCCAUAUGUGAAAACUUAGAGCUUAACUUUAAGCUUGCAUAAGGAACUAUGUAACUAGAGUGCAGGAGAGGUAAGUGGAAUUCCUAGUGUAGCGGUGAAAUGCGUAGAUAUUAGGAGGAACACCAGUGGCGAAGGCGACUUACUGGACUGAAACUGACGCUGAGUCACGAAAGCGUGGGGAGCAAACAGG
rnacentral:rRNA from 1 species